rnacentral:tRNA from 1 species
GUAUGCAGCUCAGUGGUAGAAUACUUGCCUAGUAUGCAGAAAGCCCUGGGUUCAAUCCUCAGUAAACA